UUACGGCCAUAUCACGUUGAAACACCGGUUCUCAUCCGAUUACCGAAGUUAAGCAACGCUGAACCUGGUCAGUACCUAGAUGGGUGGCCGCUCAGAAAU